GACGAACGCUGGCGGCGUGCUUAACACAUGCAAGUCGAGCGGAGCGGCGAACGGGUGAGUAACGCGUGAGUAACUGCCCCCCUCUCUGGGAUAACAGUUGGAAACGGCUGCUAAUACCGGAUAGUGGGGGAUGACUCGCGUCCUAUCAGCUUGUUGGUGGGGUAGUGGCUUACCACGGCGACGACGGGUAGCCGGCCUGGGAGGGCGACCGGCCACAUUGGGCUGAGGGACGGCCCAGACGCGUACGUGAGGCAGCGGUGGGAAAUAUUGCACAGUGGGGGAAACGCUGAUGCAGCAACGCGCGUGCGGAAUGACGGCCUUCGGGUUGUAAACCGCUUUCGGCCAUGACGCGGUAGUGGCAGAAGAAGCACCGGCUAACUACGUGCCAGCCGCCGCGGUAAUAC
rnacentral:rRNA from 1 species